rnacentral:misc_RNA from 1 species
GAGGAAGCACAAAGGGUUAAAGCCAUUGAUUGCCUGGAUUGGUGUGAGGUUGAAAUUAAUAUUUCACAGUUCUUCAAAGGCUACUUAGAGGGUCGAAGGUAUAAAAAUGGGUGGCCAGAGAUGCUGAAGCUGAAGGAUUGGCCCCCAUCAAAUUCAUUUGAAGAAUGUUUGCCAAGGCACGGUGCUGAAUUUAUAGCUAUGCUUCCGUUUAGUGAGUAUACCCAUCCAAAUACUGGUCUUUUAAAUCUAGCUACAAGGCUUCCUGCUGUCUUAAAGCCAGACUUGGGACCCAAAACAUACAUU